UGGCUCUCGCAUCGAUGAAGAACGCAGCGAAAUGCGAUAAGUAAUGUGAAUUGCAGAAUUCAGUGAAUCAUCGAAUCUUUGAACGCACCUUGCGCCUCUUGGUAUUCCGAGAGGCAUGCCUGUUUGAGUGUCAUGAAACAUCAAUCCCCGAGGGUUUUUCGCCCUCGGUGGACUUGGAACUGGGCGUCUGCCUCCCAAGGCUCGCCUCAAAUGACUUAGUGGGAACUUCUUGACCUAUGCCUGACGUGAUAAGUUUCGUCUCGGCCGGUCUUGAGGCCUGCUCAUAACAACCCAUACCUUUAAUAUUGACCUCAAAUCAGGUAGGGCUACCCGCUGA
rnacentral:misc_RNA from 1 species